CAGUCAAGAGAAUAAAACACAUCCAAAAAAAAGAAAACCAAGUUAAAAGAAAUAGCAAAACAACAAAGUAGCUAGUGAUCGAGAGAAUAAAAUCAAGUGGAAGAAUCAUGAUUCCAUUGUUUUCUCUUAGGAUGAACUUCGCGGCCAUGGCUGUGGCAUUAUUGUAUCUAACCACAGUGGAGCCGUGGCGCGUUAAUUCAAAAACGGUGAACAUAAAGCUCGUUACAAAUGCACGUGAAACUAGUGCUCGUAAGUUAAAUUUUAAUUUAUUUUCUUCAGUUUUCAUCACCGGCUCCGGCUAUAGAGUUCGAAACAUGAGUGUAUAAAUAGAGGCGUCUUUAUUUUACACGCCGUCUUAAUUAAAAUUUGAUGUGUUUUGAAUUUAUAGUUUGUUUGGAUGGGAGUUUACCGGG
rnacentral:lncRNA from 1 species